rnacentral:rRNA from 1 species
UACGUAGGGUGCGAGCGUUAAUCGGAAUUACUGGGCGUAAAGCGUGCGCAGGCGGUUUGCUAAGACCGAUGUGAAAUCCCCGGGCUUAACCUGGGAACUGCAUUGGUGACUGGCAGGCUAGAGUAUGGCAGAGGGGGGUAGAAUUCCACGGUGUAGCAGUGAAAUGCGUAGAGAUGUGGAGGAAUACCGAUGGCGAAGGCAGCCCCCUGGGCCAAUACUGACGCUCAUGCACGAAAGCGUGGGGAGCAAACAGG